GCCAGUUGUGGUGACACACAGCUCUAAUCCCAACUACUGGGGAGGCUGAGGCUGAUGGAUCUCUUGAGCUUCAGAGUUCUGAGCUGCUAUGGGCUAUGCUGAUCAGGUUUCUGUGUUAAAUUAGGCAUCAUUAUCUGAUGAGAGAGAGAGAGAGAGAGAGAGAGAGAGAGAGAGAGAGAGAGAGAGAGAGAGAGAGAAAUCAGGUUGCCUAAAGAAGGGACAACUGGACCAGGUUGGAAAGGGAAGAUGUCAAAGCUUCCUUGAUGAUCAGUAGUAGGAUUGGGUCCAUAAGUGGCCCCAGCAUUCCAGCCUAGGCAAGAUGGUGAGACCCAGUCUUAA
rnacentral:SRP_RNA from 1 species